CCCCCCCCCCCCCCCGCGGUUGCUCCCGUCAAGAUCUUGUUUACGGACUCGGGAGGAAACGAGAAAAGGAUCCAAAAAUUCUAAAGAUUUGGGAAGCUUCACAAGAUUUGCCUGCCUGUUGUUGAGAAAAGAUGAAAGAAAAGAUCUAUAUGAACACGUUUAAGCUGAUAUUCAAAGCUUUCUGUUAAAAUUGCGGGAUUUUAUUCUCCCUCUUCCACUCCCCCUUCCAGGUAGAUAGAUUUUAAAGCCAUGGUGAAAGAAACCGAGUAUUAUGAUACUUUGGGUGUGAAUGUUGAUGCAUCUGCUGCUGAGAUAAAGAAGGCCUACUACAUCAAGGUAAGAAAACAUUCCAAACGGGCCGGCCCAGGUUAGGGCCCAACUGGGCCGGCCCAAAUGGGCUCGGGCCGGGCUCGGGCCUUGUUCCUUAAA